rnacentral:rRNA from 1 species
AUGAACGCUGGCGGCGUGCCUAAUACCUGCCAGUCGAGCGAACAGACGAGGAGCUUGCUCCUCUGACGUUAGCGGCGGACGGGUGAGUAACACGUGGAUAACCUACCUAUAAGACUGGGAUAACUUCGGGAAACCGGAGCUAAUACCGGAUAAUAUAUUGAACCGCAUGGUUCAAUAGUGAAAGACGGUUUUGCUGUCACUUAUAGAUGGAUCCGCGCCGCAUUAGCUAGUUGGUAAGGUAACGGCUUACCAAGGCAACGAUGCGUAGCCGACCUGAGAGGGUGAUCGGCCACACUGGAACUGAGACACGGUCCAGACUCCUACGGGAGGCAGCAGUAGGGAAUCUUCCGCAGUGGGCGAAAGCCUGACGGAGCAACGCCGCGUGAGUGAUGAAGGUCUUCGGAUCGUAAAACUCUGUUAUUAGGGAAGAACAAAUGUGUAAGUAACUAUGCACGUCUUGACGGUACCUAAUCAGAAAGCCACGGCUAACUACGU